GAUCAACGCUGGCGGCGUGCCUCAGACAUGCAAGUCGAACGCGAAAGGCUCCUUCGGGGGCCGAGUAGAGUGGCGCACGGGUGAGUAACACGUAGGUAAUUUGCCUUUGGGUGGGGAAUAACUCAGGGAAACUUGAGCUAAUACCGCAUAAUGCAGCGGCUCGACAUCGAGACAGUUGUUAAAGCGGGGGAUCGCAAGACCUCGCGCCUGAAGAGAAGCCUGCGGCAGAUUAGCUAGUUGGUAGGGUAAUGGCCUACCAAGGCGACGAUCUGUAACCGGCCUGAGAGGGCGGUCGGUCACACUGACACUGACAUACGGGUCAGACUCCUACGGGAGGCAGCAGUCGGGAAUUUUGGGCAAUGGGCGCAAGCCUGACCCAGCAACGCCGCGUGAAGGA
rnacentral:rRNA from 1 species